GUUCGAUCCUGGCUCAGAUUGAACGCUGGCGGGAUGCUUUACACAUGCAAGUCGAACGGCAGCACGGACUUCGGUCUGGUGGCAGGUGGCGAACGGGUGGUAAUGUUGUCGGAACGUGCCUAGUAGCGGGGGAUAACUACGCGAAAGCGUACUUCGCCACCGCAUACGCCCUUCGAAAGCGGGGGACUGCUUCCGGGCCUCGCACUAUUAGAGCGGCCGAUAUCGGAUUAGCUAGUUGGUGGGGUAACGGCUCGCAAGGCGACGAUCCGUAGCUGGUUCGAGAAGGACGACCAGCCACACUGGGACGAGACCUGGCCCAGACUCCUACGGGAGGCAGCAGUGGGAAUUUUGGACAAUGGGGAAACCCUGAUCCAGCCAUCCCGCGUGUGCGAUGAGGCCUUCGGGUUGUAAAGCACUUUUGGCAGGAAAGAAACGGCACGGGGAUAAUACCCCGUGCAGCUGACAGUACCUGCAGAAUAAGCACCGGCUAACUACGUGCCAGCAGCCGCGGUAAUACGUAAGUGCAAGAAAGCGUUAAUCGGAAUUGCUGGGCAUUAAGCGUGCGCAGGCGGUUCGGAAAGAAGAUGUGAAAUCCCAGAGCUUAACCUGGAACUGCAUUUUUAACUACCGAGCUAGAGUGUGUCAGAGGGAGGUGGAAUUCCGCGUGUAGCAGUGAAAUGCGUAGAUAUGCGGAGGAACACCGAUAGCGGCAGCCUCCUGGGAUAACACUGACGCUCAUGCACGGCAUCAGAGAAUAACCGGAUUAGAUACCUGGUAGUCCACGCCUAAACGAUGUCCGGCUAGCUGUUGGGGCCUUCGGGCCUUGGUAGCGCAGCUAACGCGUGAAGUUGACCGCCUGGGAAGUACGGUCGCAAGAUUAAAACUCAAAGGAAUUGACGGGGACCCGCACAAGCGGUGGAUGAUGUGGAUUAAUUCGAUGCAACGCGAAACCUUACCUACCCUUGACAUGUCUGGAAUCCGAAGAGAUUUGGGAGUGCUCGCAAGAGAACCGGAACACAGGUGCUGCAUGGCUGUCGUCAGCUCGUGUCGUGAGAUGUUGGGUUAAGUCCGUGAGCAACCCUUGUCCAUUAGUUGCUACGAAGGGCACUCUAAUGAGACUGCCGGUGACAAACCGGAGGAAGGUGGGGAUGACGUCAAGUCCUCAUGGCCCUUAUGGGUAGACUUCCGCACGUCAUACAAUGGUCGGGACAGGGUCGCCAGCCCGCGAGAGAGCCAAUCCCAGAAACCCGAUCAUGGUCCGGAUCUUUGAUCUGCAACUCUGACACCGUGAAGUCGGAAUCGCUAGUAAUCGCGGAUCAGCAUGUCGCGGUGAAUACGUUCCCGGGUCUUGUACACACCGCCCGUCACACCAUGGGAGUGGGUUUGCAAGUAGUUAGCCUAACCGUAAGGAGGGCGAUUGCCACGGUAAGUUCAUGGCUGGGGUGAAGUCGUAACAGGGUAG
rnacentral:rRNA from 1 species